GGCGCUCGCUUCCACCGCAUCGCGGCUCACGCAAGAGGCCGCGUUUCUACCAGAAAGCUUGCCUUCGUAGCACUCACUGCCAGCGUUUCCCGGUGCUUCUGGGACAGGUUACCAAGUGCACGAGGCGGCGUUCAUGGCCGGAAAUGAUUGCGCCAUCCCCCGUCACCCCCUUACCAUCAACAAGUUCAACGUGUCGUAAGCGUUCUCUCAUUAGCUGCCAUGGGGAUUUACAUCACAUUUGCGAAGUGACGAGACGGAAAUAGAGAAAGCCCGAUCAGGGUCAAACUCAAGGAAUUCUCGGUGCCCAAGAUCCUGCCCACAGUGGGAGCCAUUUACGCCCCUGAAGCAAAUCAAGCAUCACCGUUUUUCGACGAGGAGGAGAUGCAUAUUAAAUAGAAAUACUGUCUCACA